AUAGACCAAAGGCUAUAUUUCUAGCAUGACAUGAUUUCCAGUAGGUUGAAUUGCUUGAACGCAAACUAUUUCCUGGGGUGUUAUUAUAUUAUUAUUGUUGCAAUUUUUUUCCUAUCAUUUUCCAAUCUCAAAUGCUCAAGAAUUGGAAAAAAAAUUUCUGUUUCCCCAGAUCACUGGAUACACUUUUCUUCAUCCCUUCAAUUUCUCGGCUGUUUUCUCUUCUUCUGAAGGAUUGGCACUAACCUCUACUAAAGCAUAGCCAGACUGCUCCACCCAGAGAUGGCUGAAGGAAGUGGAAAUGAGGAGACAACUCUUGAGCAUACAUCAACAUGGGCAGUGGUAGUUGUUUAUUUCAUCUUGAUUGCUGUUUCCAUACUUAUUGAACAUGGUCUUCAUCUUCUGGCUAAGUGUUUGGACAGGUGGGAGUAUAUUGGCGGCACUUGGUUCCUUUCAGUAAAUGUGGUUUUCAAAAUCUGAGUUUGAGGAACAUGGAACUUCUUAUGUUCAAAGAAAAUGCCCGUAAAGUACUUUACUGGUGCAAACAAUUAUCACAUUAGACAGAAAU